UACCGGGGACCUCUAGAGAUAGAGUUUGAUCCUGGCUCAGGAUGAACGUUGGCGGUGUGCCUAAGGUAUGCAAGUCGAGCGAACCUUUGAGACUUUGAGACUUCGGUCGAUUAGUCUCUCCUGGUUAGCGGCGAACGGGUGAGUAACACGUGGAUAAUCUGCACUGAAGUCGGGAAUAGCUCUCCGAAAGGAGGGGUAAUACUCGAUGGUCCCAUACUUACGCAAGUUAGUUUGGGUAAAGAUUUAUCGCUUCAGAACGAGUCCGCGUCCUAUCAGCUAGUUGGUGAGGUAAUAGCUCACCAAGGCUAAGACGGGUAGCUGGCGUGAGAGCGCGUCCAGCCACAAUGGAACUGAGACACGGUCCAUACUCCUACGGGAGGCAGCAAUUAGGAAUUUUGCGCAAUGGGGGCAACCCUGACGCAGCGACACCGCGUGGAGGAUGAAGGUCUACGGAUCGUAAACUCCUUUUAUAUGGGAAGAAUUAAUGACUGUACCAUAUGAAUAAGUGACUGCUAACUACGUGCCAGAAGCAUCGGUGAUGCGUAGGUCACGAACGUUAUCCGGAUUUAUUGGGCGUAAAGAGAAGCGUAGGCGUUUUGGUAAGUCUUUUGUUAAAGACCUCGGCUUAACCGAGGGAGGGCAUUAGAAACUACCAGAAUUGAGACAGAAAGGGGCUAAUGGAAUUCUCGGUGGAGUGGUGAAAUACGUUGAUAUCGAGAGGAACACCAGUGGCGAAAGCGAUUAGCUGGUUCUUGUCUGACGCUGAGGCUCGAAAGCGUGGGGAGCAAAACGGGAUUAGAUACCCGUGUAGUCCACGCUGUAAACAAUGGAUGCUAGGUGUUCGACAUGACUGCAUAUUUUCUUCGGAAUUUAAGCGGAAGUGUUGAGUGCCACAGUUAACACAUUAAGCAUCCCGCCUGGGGACUACGGUCGCAAGACUAAAACUCAAAUGAAUUGGCGGGCUCCUGCACAAGCAGAGGAGCGCGUGGUUUAAUUCGUUGGUAAUCGAAAACCUUACCAGGGUUUGACAUGUAUCUGCAUGUCUCCUGAAAGGGAGACAGCCUUCGAGGGUGAUACACAGGUGUUGCAUGGCCGUCGUCAGCUCGUGUCGUGAGAUGUAGGGUUAAGUCCCGUAACGAGCGCAACCCCUAUCCUAUGUUACAAGUGUCUUAGGAAACUGCCUCGGUAAAACGGGGAGGAAGGUGGGGAUGACGUCUGGUCCGCAUGGCCCUUAUAUCCUGGGCGACACACGCGCUACAAUGGUCGGUACAAUAGGCAGCCAAGCCGUAAGGCGGAGCUAAUCCUAUAAAACCGAUCUCAGUUCAGAUUGAGGUCUGAAACUCGACCUCAUGAAGUUGGAUUUGCUAGUAAUCGCACAUCAGCCAUGGUGCGGUGAAUACGUUCUCGGGAGUUGCACACACCGCCCGUCACGUCAUGGGAGUAGGUGAUACCCGAAGGCGUUCUGUCCGCAAGGAUGGGAUGACGAAGGUAACGCUUAUGACUGGGAUGAAGUCGUAACAAGGUAACCA
rnacentral:rRNA from 1 species